rnacentral:rRNA from 1 species
AUGAACGCUAGCGACAGGCCUAACACAUGCAAGUCGAGGGGCAGCACAAGGAGCGAUCUGAGGUGGCGACCGGCGCACGGGUGAGUAACACGUAUGCAACCUGCCUGUAAGCGGGGAAUAACCCGUUGAAAGACGGACUAAUACCGCAUAAUACUAAAUUACUGCAUGGUAAUUUAUUUAAACAUUUAUGGCUUACAGAUGGGCAUGCGCAUGAUUAGCUAGUUGGAGAGGUAACGGCUCCCCAAGGCAACGAUCAUUAGGGGUUCUGAGAGGAAGGUCCCCCACACUGGUACUGAGACACGGACCAGACUCCUACGGGAGGCAGCAGUGAGGAAUAUUGGUCAAUGGACGAGAGUCUGAACCAGCCAAGUCGCGUGCAGGAAGAAUGUUCCCUAUGGAUUGUAAACUGCUUUUGCAGGGGAAUAAAGUGCAUCACGUGUGAUGUUUUGUAUGUACUCUGCGAAUAAGGAUCGGCUAACUCCGUGCCAGCCGCUGC